UACGAAGGGUGCAAACGUUGCUCGGAAUUAUUGGGCGUAAAGAGCGCGCAGGCGGUCGACCAAGUCGCGUGUGAAAGCCCCCCGGCUCAACUGGGGAGGGUCACGCGAUACUGAUCGACUCGAAGGCAGGAGAGGGUAGUGGAAUUCCCGGUGUAGUGGUGAAAUGCGUAGAUAUCGGGAGGAACACCAGUGGCGAAGGCGACUACCUGGCUGUUCUUGACGCUGAGGCGCGAAAGCUAGGGGAGCGAACAGG
rnacentral:rRNA from 1 species